rnacentral:rRNA from 1 species
UGGGGAAUUUUGGACAAUGGGCGCAAGCCUGAUCCAGCCAUGCCGCGUGCGGGAAGAAGGCCUUCGGGUUGUAAACCGCUUUUGUCAGGGAAGAAACGCUCUGGGCUAAUACCCCGGAGUAAUGACGGUACCUGAAGAAUAAGCACCGGCUAACUACGUGCCAGCAGCCGCGGUAAUACGUAGGGUGCAAGCGUUAAUCGGAAUUACUGGGCGUAAAGCGUGCGCAGGCGGCUUUGCAAGACAGAUGUGAAAUCCCCGGGCUUAACCUGGGAACUGCAUUUGUGACUGCAUGGCUGGAGUGCGGCAGAGGGGGAUGGAAUUCCGCGUGUAGCAGUGAAAUGCGUAGAUAUGCGGAGGAACACCGAUGGCGAAGGCAAUCCCCUGGGCCUGCACUGACGCUCAUGCACGAAAGCGUGGGGAGCAAACAGGAUUAGAUACCCCCGUAGUCC